rnacentral:tRNA from 1 species
GGAGAGGUGCCAGAGCGGUCGAAUGGGAUAGUCUUGAAAACUAUUGAACCUUUACCGGUUCCGUGGGUUCGAAUCCCACCCUCUCCG